AAAACCGACACAGGUAGUAGAGGCGAGUAGCCUCAGGUGAGCGAGAGAACUCUCGUUAAGGAACUCGGCAAAAUGACCCCGUAACUCCGGGAGAAGGGGUGCUCUACAUUUGUAGAGCCGCAGUGAAUAGGCCCAAGCGACUGUUUAUCAAAAACACAGCUCUCUGCUAAAUCGUAAGAUGAUGUAUAGGGGGUGACGCCUGCCCGGUGCUGGAAGGUUAAGAGGAGUGCUUAGCGUAAGCGAAGGUAUGAAUUGAAGCCCCAGUAAACGGCGGCCGUAACAAUAACGGUCCUAAGGUAGCGAAAUUCCUUGUCGGGUAAGUUCCGACCCGCACGAAAGGCGUAACGAUUUGGGCACUGUCUCAACGAGAGACUCGGUGAAAUUUUAGUACCUGUGAAGAUGCAGGUUACCCGCGACAGGACGGAAAGACCCCAUGGAGCUUUACUGCAAGUUGAUAUUGAGUAUCUGUUGCACAUGUACAGGAUAGGUAGGAGCCAUUGAUCUGAGGACGCUAGUUUUCAGUGAGGCGAUGUUGGGAUACUACCCUUGUGUCAUGGCUACUCUAACCCGCAUGCCUAAUCGGCAUGGGAGACAGUGUCUGCUGGGCAGUUUGACUGGGGCGGUCGCCUCCUAAAGAGUAACGGAGGCGCUCAAAGUUUCCCUCAGCAUGGUUGGAAAUCAUGCGUAGAGUGUAAAGGUAUAAGGGAGAUUGACUGCGAGACUUACAAGUCGAGCAGGUACGAAAGUAGGACUUAGUGAUCCGGUGGUACCGCAUGGAAGGGCCAUCGCUCAACGGAUAAAAGCUACCCUGGGGAUAACAGGCUUAUCUCCCCCAAGAGUUCACAUCGACGGGGAGGUUUGGCACCUCGAUGUCGGCUCGUCGCAUCCUGGGGCUGUAGUCGGUCCCAAGGGUUGGGCUGUUCGCCCAUUAAAGCGGCACGCGAGCUGGGUUCAGAACGUCGUGAGACAGUUCGGUCCCUAUCCGUCGCGGGCGUAGGAAAUUUGAGAGGAUCUGCCCUUAGUACGAGAGGACCGGGGUGGACUUACCGCUGGUGUACCAGUUGUCUUGCCAAAGGCAUCGCUGGGUAGCUAUGUAGGGAACGGAUAAACGCUGAAAGCAUCUAAGUGUGAAACCAACCUCAAGAUGAGAUUUCCCAUUCUUUAUGAAUUAAGAGCCCUGAGAGAUGAUCAGGUAGAUAGGCUAGAAGUGGAAGGACAGUGAUGUUUGGAGCGGACUAGUACUAAUAGCUCGAGGACUUUACCG
rnacentral:rRNA from 1 species